rnacentral:rRNA from 1 species
UACGGGGGGGGCAAGCGUUGUUCGGAAUUACUGGGCGUAAAGGGCUCGUAGGCGGCCAACUAAGUCGGAUGUGAAAUCCCCAGGCUUAACCUGGGAACUGCAUCCGAUACUGGAUGGCUUGAAUCCGGGAGAGGGAUGCAGAAUUCCAGGUGUAGCGGUGAAAUGCGCAGAUAUCGGGAAGAACACCUGUGGCGAAGGCGGCUCUCUGGGACGGUACUGACGCUGAGACGCGAAAGCGUGGGGAGCAAACAGG